GGCCCCGUCGUCUAACGGUUAGGACAUCACCCUUUCAAGGUGGAGAUUACGGGUUCGAAUCCCGUCGGGGUCACCA
rnacentral:tRNA from 1 species